UGUGCCAGCCGCCGCGGUAAUACGAAGGGUGCAAGCGUUGCUCGGAAUUAUUGGGCGUAAAGGGUAGGUAGGUGGUAAUACAAGUCUGGGGUGAAAUCCCUGAGCUCAACUCAGGACGUGCCUUGGAAACUGUAUUACUAGAGUGCUGGAGAGGUCCGCAGAAUUCCCGGUGUAGCGGUGAAAUGCGUAGAGAUCGGGAGGAAUACCAGAGGCGAAGGCGGCGGACUGGACAGCAACUGACACUCAACUACGAAAGCGUGGGUAGCAAACAGGAUUAGAUACCCUGGUAGUCCACGCUGUAAACGAUCGGUACUAGAGUUUGAGGGAGUUGACCCCUUCAGACUCGGAGCUAACGCGAUAAGUACCGCGCCUGGGAAGUACGGUCGCAAGACUAAAACUCAAAGGAAUUGACGGGAGCCCGCACAAGCGGUGGAUUAUGUGGUUUAAUUCGAAGCAACGCGCAGAACCUUACCUAGGUUUGACAUCCUUUGACAACCGUAGAGAUACGGCUUUCGUAGCAAUACGACAAAGAGACAGGUGCUGCAUGGCUGUCGUCAGCUCGUGUGGUGGCAUGUCGGGUUAAGUCCCUCAACGAGCGCAACCCCUGUGUUUAGUUGCCAGCAUUAAGUUGGGGCACUCUAGACAGACUGCCGUGGUUAACACGGAGGAAGGCGGGGAUGACGUCAAGUCCUCAUGGCCCUUACACCUAGGGCGACACACGUAAUACAAUGGUUGAUACAGAGGGAUGCGAAACGGCGACGUGGAGCAAAUCCCAAAAAGUCAAUCUCAGUU
rnacentral:rRNA from 1 species